UAGGGAAUCUUCCGCAAUGGACGCAAGUCUGACGGAGCAACGCCGCGUGAGUGAUGAAGGUUUUCGGAUCGUAAAACUCUGUUGUUAGGGAAGAACAAGUAUCGGAGUCACUGCCGGUACCUUGACGGUACCUGACGAGAAAGCCACGGCUAACUACGUGCCAGCAGCCGCGGUAAUACGUAGGUGGCAAGCGUUGUCCGGAUUUAUUGGGCGUAAAGCGCGCGCAGGCGGUCUUUUAAGUCUGAUGUGAAAUCUUACAGCUUAACUGUAAGCGGUCAUUGGAAACUGGGAGACUUGAGUGCAGAAGAGGAGAGUGGAAUUCCAUGUGUAGCGGUGAAAUGCGUAGAGAUAUGGAGGAACACCAGUGGCGAAGGCGACUCUCUGGUCUGCAACUGACGCU
rnacentral:rRNA from 1 species